rnacentral:rRNA from 1 species
UGUGACGUUACCAAACUGUUGCCUCGGCGGGAUUUCUGCCCCGGGCGCGUCGCAGCCCCGGACCAAGGCGCCCGCCGGAGGACCAAUUUACAAACUCUUUUGUAUAUCCCAUCGCGGAUUCUUUACAUUCUGAGCUUUCUCGGCGCUCCUAGCGAGCGUUUCGAAAAUGAAUCAAAACUUUCAACAACGGAUCUCUUGGUUCUGGCAUCGAUGAAGAACGCAGCGAAAUGCGAUAAGUAAUGUGAAUUGCAGAAUUCAGUGAAUCAUCGAAUCUUUGAACGCACAUUGCGCCCGCCAGUAUUCUGGCGGGCAUGCCUGUCCGAGCGUCAUUUCAACCCUCGAACCCCUCCGGGGGGUCGGCGUUGGGGAUCGGCACUUACCUGCCGGCCCCGAAAUACAGUGGCGGUCUCGCCGCAGCCUCUCCUGCGCAGUAGUUUGCACACUCGCACCGGGAGCGCGGCGCGUCCACGGCCGUAAAACAACCCAAACUUCUGAAAUGUUGACCUCGGAUCAGGUAGGAAUACCCGCUGAACUUAAGCAUAUC